GACUGGUUACAAUAGUUUGAUUAUAUCGAGAAGGUACAAUCAUUCUAUUGACAUUAGAUGUCUCAGGAUAGAGAUAGGGUUGGACCCAAUAACUGUUAAGUGAGGGUCCCAAUAAUAGCUUUGCUCUCGUUGGUGAACGGUAGGUCUGACUUAACUAAAAAAUAUGCCAAUAAUAUUAGAUGAGGUCACAGGACUUAGAGACUGAAUCUGCUGCAUCUUGC
rnacentral:lncRNA from 1 species